rnacentral:piRNA from 1 species
UGACUUGUGAUCCUUGCCUCACAGAGCCGG